rnacentral:rRNA from 1 species
CCUACGGGUGGCAGCAGUGGGGAAUAUUGCACAAUGGCGGAAACCCUGAUGCAGCGACGCCGCGUGAGUGAAGAAGUAAUUCGUUAUGUAAAGCUCUUUUAGCAGGGAAGAAAAUGACGGUACCUGAGUAAGAAGCCCCGGCUAAAUACGUGCCAGCAGCCGCGGUAAUACGGAGGGGGCAGGCGUCAUCCGGAUUUUCGGGGUGUAAGGGGAGCGUAGUGGGGAGUGCAAGUCUGGAGGGAAAGGCGGGGGCUCAACCCCCGGACUGCUCUUGAAACUGUGCUGCUGGAGUGCAGGAGAGGUAAGUGGAAUUCCUGGUGUAGCGGUGAAAUGCGUAGAUAUUAGGCAGAACACCAGUUGCGAAGGCAGCUUACUGGUCUGCAACUGACGUUGAUGCACGAAAGCGUGGGUAGCAAACAGGAUUAGAUACCCGAGUAGUC